AUUUUUUAGUUACUAUUGGUUAUUAUUGGUUAUAUUUAAAAAUUAUUAUUCGAUGGGCGAAGGAAACAACAUGUAUUAUUUACACUGUCAUCGUCAGCCUCUGUAAUCGACUGUCAACGGUAUCAACGAUCAUCUAUAGUUUAAUACCUACUGUCUGUCUGUCACCUGUAUUAAUCUGUUCUUUAGCUCCUGACACCUACUGUAACCUACCGUAAUCCAUUGUCAUCUGCCCCAUCUUUUCUGUCUGCUGCUGUAACUCACCGUCACCUAUCGUCAUGUACUGUCACCACCUCACCUGUAACCUACUGUCCUCUAUUAUAGUCGAUCUACUAUCAUCCACUAUCACCUUCUGUAACCUUUCGUCAUCUAAUAUCACCUAGUGUAACCUACCAUCACCCAGUGUAAUCUACCGUGACCUAAUGUAACCUACCGUCACCUGAUGUAACCUACAGUCACCAACUGUCAUGUACUGUGAAUUUCAUUUUACUGUUACCUACUUACUAAAUACUACUGGUCCACCAUACCAAAAGAAAUUUACUUUCUAUGGAGGAUCAAGAUCUAAUGCUACUGUCAGCAUUAUGACAACAAGAAUCUUCCAGGCUGUACAAAUACUUUCUUUAAUUCCUGCAGUUGAUGUGCUGGUAAUCAUGAUAAAUCUCCUUGCCAGCUAAUUUUUAAUUGUUUUUCAGGGCCAAAAUCAUUGGAUCAAAAAGAAUUUGUUACUGUAGUGCUUUCCAUUUGUGCAAAACUUCGUUUGCUUGCGACAAAAAAUUUACGGCGUCGGCAUUCUAUGUCGAGCUAUCCCAUCUUAACCUCAAUCUGCCCGAACGUGUAACUGUUAUUCUACCUGUGCAUAUUUCCUUUGUCUGAAACAAUGCAGCCAGAGUACCACAUACAAGGCGAGAGAAGGCGAGAAGGAACAAGCAAAGAAUAAUUGUGACAAUAUGAGAAGGAGAAAGAAAACCAUUCAAGAAAUCAUAUUAUUCUAUUUCGUUGCUAAUUAAGGAGUAAAGAUUAUUUUGUAUCUAUGAAUUGAUUGAAUUAUA